GUGUAUUCGUAGACCGCAUACGUCACUUCCGCCGAAAGAAGGCUGUCCCAAUAAAAAAAUAAAAAGACUCCUCCGAAUGCGGCCCACGAAUGCGGCCUUCUUUUUACGGAUUUGAAGGAUACAUCUGAUGUAUCCUCCGCGGUCUACCAUAUCCCAGGAUGCAAUGCGCGGUGGGGACGAGUGAGUUUUGUUCAAAGGAAAUGGCUUCCGGUCUCCCCAGCAGAGUGGAUUUAAAAACAGCAGCAAGCGGAGGAAUCACUAAUAAAUGACAAUUCUGGAAAAAUGGAUCUGCUGGAGAAGGGCCCUUACUCUGUGUGUGCACAGCGAUCAUCAGGACAGAGCUGCCAUCCACCUGGACCCCCGUGGUGCUGGAGAAAGCAGAAGGCGUUCAGGAACAUCCUCCACCCAGACCUCUGCUUACUGCACUCCUACAGACGUAUGAGUGCAGAACUGUAGAGAUCAUCACUGCUGCCACUUUAGCCUUACAUACUUUUACUUCAAAUUAACACAUUGUGUGCCUUAUAGUGCUUCUCAUUUUGCAUACACUGUACUUAUUACAUUGCUGUUAACAGUUUAUUUAUUUGCAAUACUCUCUAGAUUUAAUCUACAAUUUAGAUGAUAUUACUUAAUCUAAAUUGUGUUUGUUUAUAUGAAUCUAUAUUUUAUCUUGCACUUUUUUUGUGUGUUUCUGUAUCUGAUCCCGAAACAGCUGCACAUAUAAUCAAAAACAAACGACUCGAUAAACACAUGUUAGCUGAUAUUUGUUUUACUGCUGGUGAUGUUAAAUAACAGGAUUGAUUUCCUCUGUCUCAAUGAUGAAAGUUAUAAUAAUAGAAGACAUGAAGCUGCAGAGAGAGGAUGGAUAUAUUCUUCCCUCCACUUUGUGAUUAGAUGAAAAUACAAAAUGUAAUUAAAAUAGUAAUUGUUAAA